CUGCAUCUGCUCUGCUGCUUGUCAUAGGGUGUCGCAGGCCUCUUUUGCAUACUGGCAGCGACAAGUUGAGGCUUGUUCAUUUGACACAGUCCUGUGGUCACAGCGAAUCUCUCUAAAGCUCUAACCAGUGGAGAAGGGGGGUGUAUGGAUCCUCUGAACUCUGAGUGGGACUUCCUGAAAGAUUUAUUAGGAGAAAAACCUUCCUGGAAGCAGCAGAAGAACAAACACAGAAUCUCUGGCUGGGCAGAGCCUCGUGGCCUGGUCUCCAGUAUCUGGGAGCAGUUACAUCUUGGAGAUGGGGGACCCACAGCUCAGAGAGAUUAAAAAUAUCCCUACCCUCACCGCCAGGUCACACAGCUAAGGAGUGGUAGAGCCACUGGGAUUUGGACCUGGGCCAUCUGGCUCCCUGGUUCUCUAACCACUCCUAGAAGUUAGAGGACAGUGAAACUAAAAGUAAGCAAGGAUGCUUCUCGGCCUGGAGCGGGAGGGAUCAAGUGUGUUCCCCAGCCUGCCCUCCUUACCCGGCACAGAUGGAAACCCCAAACCCUGUGUGAAGACACUGCCUGCUCUGGCUGCCGGCCCGUUCCACUAACGCUGGGGUCAGGAAGCCAUGGGAGGGGGGGCUGCAGCGUUUGGAAGAUUCUGGACGGGGGUCUGGGGAGCCUGCGCAGAGCCUCAGUCUUGGUGUGAAAUCUAUGGGCAUUUGCAAAACGCUACAUCCAGGCGUCCUGCCUGGCUUUGUGACCAGCAUAUAAUCACUGUGAACAUUCAGAGCAGAUGGGAGACAGAGCUCUUUCUGCAAAUGAUCACAUACCCUCCCCCCCAUCCCCUGCCCCCGCCCCCCAAACUAUCUGAGUACCUGUCUCUCUCCUGCGUGUGUUCUGGUCCUGUAGCAGCCCUAACAAUACAAGGAUUGUGGUGGCCCCUCUCCCAACCCUGUCAUUAAAAACGAAAACAAUGCCAGCCCAUAAACACAAGAUUCACAUACACGAGGCCAAAAUGGUCUCAGUCACUUUUUAAUUCCAGAAUUCUGAAUGUUUUUCUUUUAUUUUCUCUUCCUCUUUUUUCUGAGGGGGGCAGGCAGGGGUAUGGGGUGUUGUUUUGCUGGUGCCUGGUGGGUAGUCCGAGCCCCAGGGUUAUUUGUUGACCUGCCUCUUUUCCCUCCUGGACCAUGCAUUUCUUGGGAGCAGCAGGGGGCGGGGAAGGGGUGGGGGAUGCUGGCAAUCAUCUUCAUCUGGUGGCUCACACAGCCCUGGGACUUUGUUGGAUCAGGUGGCUGUCAAGAACUGCUUUAUUUUCAAGGAAACAAGCGAUGCCCAGUCUCCAGUCAUUGUCUUCUUAGAUGUGAAACAGCCCGACAGGGUGGGAAGCAGAGGGUUUGCCCUGAGGGAAGGGACAGGGAAGAAAGGAAGGAAGACUGAAAGCGGCAGAAGGCACCUGGGUCGCCUGAGGGGCCGUGCAGACCUGGGUUCCUUUGGGGCAAGUUACCUGACCUCUGUAGGCCUGUUGACUCGCCUAUGAAAUGGGGAUGGUAAAGCACCAGCUUCACCGGUGGCUAUGAGGAGGAAAUAGGGGAUGAACAGCUGGCGGGUGUUCAGCACAGCGCCUGGGCUCCUGGUAAGUGCUCAGCAAGAGUUAGUUAAUAUUAUUACUGUUAAAAUUAUUGGGUUUUAUUACUUCCUGUGGCUGCUUGGAGUGGUGGUUUCUGAAUACGUUGUAAUGCGUAAAGGUAACAUUCUGGUUACAUAGAUCAUAAAAUGGCAGUGACUUCACUAGUGUUCUUUGCAAGCAUCUGAACAAAACACUGGCUAAUAGAUGUAAGAAAGAGAUAGAAAUGGGGAGAGGUCUCAGAAAGGACAGGAAUCAGAGGGUGCCCCUCAGGUGUCAGCCUGCUUUUAUAUGUAUAUAUAAAGUUUUUUUCUGUUUUUGGCUGCGUUGGGUCUUUAUUGCUGCGCGCAGGCUUUCUCUAGUUGCGGCAAGCCGGGGCUACUCUUCGUCGCGUUGCGCAGGCUUCUCAAUGCGGUGGCUUCUCUUGUUGAGGAGCACGGGCUCUAGGCAUGUGGGCUUCAGCAGUUGUGCAUGCAGGCUCAGCUGUUGUGGCUCGUGGGCUCUAGAGCGCAGGCUCAGUAGUUGUGGCGCACGGGCUUAGUUGCUCCGUGGCAUGUGAGAUCUUCCUGGACCAGGGCUCGAACCCAUGUCCCCUGCAGGACAUUGGCAGGCGGAUUCUUAACCACUGUGCCACCAGGGAAGUGCCGUCAGCCUGCUUUUGCAGGUUACUUCAGCUCUCGCUGCUGCUGAGAGGAGAAUAGUUUCCCCCUCCCAGGGAUGAUGCAAAGCACUUAGCACAGUGGCAGUAAGCUCUUGAGGAAGAUGUAAAAAUGAUUGUUAUUAUUGGUUAUUCUUCAGGGCUCCCUUUCCCUGGUAAUUUGGCCCUAACAUUUGCUACUCUGUUUAAGAUGGAUUGGUUGAGCCAUUCAUUUACUGAGCAGUUGCUGGGUGGCAGGCACUGUUCUAGCUCCUGGAGAUCCAGCAGGGAAGAAAAGAAACAAAAAUCUUUGUCCACCUGGAGUUUCCAUUCUAUCCAGGCCACACAGUGGGGUCAGGGUGGUCCCCACAGGGAGUUGGGGAACGGAUAGAGGCAGCGCAGGCAAAAACUCCACUGACUCCUGACACCACUGUAUUAGUAGAUGUAAGGUGCUUAGCACAGGGCUGCUGUGUGGUAGUGACUAUGUAAGUGGUGGUUGCUAUGUUUAUAAUUAUUGCCUUCCUUUGGGGGCUGCCUCAUAAAAUAGCAACCUCCCUAACUCCCAUUUCCAUUCCUGAGUCUCACUGUUGUCCAUAGUACUUGUCAUGGACUGAAUGUUUGUGUUUCUCCAAAAUACAUAUGUUGAAAUAUUAACCCCCAGUGUGAUGGUAUUUGGAGAUGGGGCCUUUGGGAGGUAAUUAUGGAUAGGUGAGGUCAUCAGGGUGGGGUCCUUGUGAGGUGAUUAGUGCCCUUAUCAGAAGAAACACCAGGGAGCUUGCCUCCUCUCUCUGGCCAUGUGAGGACACAGCAAGAAGGUAGUUGUUUACAAAUCAGGAAGAGAGCUCUCAUCAGAAACCAGAUUGGCCAGAACCUUGGUCUUGGACUUCCUAGCUUCCAGAACUGUGAGAGAUACAUUUCAAUCAUUUAAGCUACCCCAUCUGUAGUAUUUUGUUAUGGCAGCCUGAACAAACUGAGACAGUACUAAUCAUUACCUGAUAUACCGUAUAUCUGUCUUCUCUCCUGAAAUUGUAGACUCUGUAGGGCUGAGGGCUUCAUUCAUUCAUUCAUUCAUUUAUUCAUUUUCAUCAAUUCAACGCAUACUUGUUGCAUGCCUACUCUGUGCCAAGCAGGGUGCUAGGUGCUGGGAAGGCGGAAAGGAACAAGAAAGAUGUUGCACAAAUGGUGCUUGCAUUGCAGCUGAGGUAGACAUUGGGAACAGCAGACAUAAUAAACUGAGGACAUUCACAGUGUAUUUGAGGGUAAUGUGUUCUAUGGGAACAAGUGGAGCAGAGUCAGGGUCUGGAGGACUGGGGUGGGCUGCAGUGUUAAGGUGGCUUCAGGGCAGACUCUGUUGACAAGCUGUUACUGGAGCAGCCUUGAAGGGGUUAGUCUUAGAGGAUGGUGUUCCUGGCCCAGGGAAGAGCCAGGUUCGAGGCUGAGGGCAGGGGUGGGCCUGUGAGAGGGAGAAGCAGGAUGAAGAACGGAUUGGAGUGGUGAGAGCUAGGUGGACAGAGGUGGAAGGGGAAACCAGAGCAGUGUUCAGCGGCGUUGCACGUGAAGUCUCUGGGCCUUUCUAAAAGACUCUGUCUUGUGCACAGUAAAAUGGGGAGCGACUGAAGGGUUUAAAACAGAAAGCUGAUUUGCUCUGACUUAGCUUUCAAAAUGAUCAAUCUGGCUGCUGUGUUGAGAAGAGACUAAAUCUAGGCCAGCAGUCAGGGCACCCGGGUCCAACUGCAGGGGAUGCAGGUGCUUGGUCCAGGCUGGUAGUGGUGGACAGGAGCUUCUGGACUGCUCACUGUUGUAUCCCCAGGCAUCUAAAACUGCCCUAUCCAAUGCGGUAGCCACUACCUUUAUGUGGCCGCUGAGCACUUGAAAUGAGGCUAGUCUGAAUGGAGAUGUACUAAAAUACACGUCGGAUUUCAAAGACUUAACACAAAAAAAGUGAUAUAUAUUCCGUAACAUCUUAAGGAAAAACCCGAAUGAACUUUUUGGCUAACCCAAUAUCUCAUUACUGAAUUCGUUAACGUUAAUUAUGUGUUGAAAUGGUAUCUUGGAUAUAUUGGGUUAAAUAUGAUACAUCACUAAAAUGAAUUUCACCUGUUCCUUUUUUUUUUUUAAAAAUGCGGUUACUGGAAAAUCUAAAAUGACCCGUAGCUCAAAUUCCAUUUUUAUUGGGCAGUGUAGCUCUACGACAACGCCUGGGCCGUGAUGAGCAUUCAGUGAAUCCAGAGUGAGUGAGUGAGGGCCAGGCACAGGGGAUUCUGCACGGAAUAAGGAACCAUCCCUGUCUUCAAGAAGCUCCCAGUGUGGGGACUUCCCUGGUGGCGCAGUGGUUAAGAUUCUGCCUGCCAAUGCAGGGGACCCGGGUUCGAGCCCUGGUCCGGGAAGAUCCCACAUGAGGCAGAGCAACUAAGCCCGUGCGCGACAAUUACUGAGCCCAUGAGCCACAACUACUGAGCCCGCGUGCCGCAACUACUGAAGCCCGUGCUCCACAGCAAGAGAAGCCACCGCAAUGAGAAGCACGUGCACCGCAACAAAGAGUAGCCCCCACUCGCCGCAGCUAGAGGAAGCCCGUGCGCAGCAACGACUGCUGACCAGAGCGGCUGGGAGGCAGGGAAGACAGGUGGAAAUGGAGCUGCAGGCAACUAGGUCUGGUGUGGCUGAGAAGGCUCGAGCAGGAGGGACGUGGGAGAUAGGUCUCCAGUCUUAGUGAGGGCCUUGCAGACAGGGAACAGAGAGCUGAGGACCCUGGGCCUUGGGACUGUGCCUGAGGUGGGAGAGGCAGGAGUGGCCAGUGGGUCAGCCCCACCUGCUGGCCCACUGGCCACUUAAUGACCAGCAGAAGUGAUUUAAAUGGGUCCUGCCAACCCUGGGAUUGUAACCAGGAGUAAAUUCCCAGGUUUACAUUUAGAAGGAUAACAAAUGUAAUAGAGGAUGGCUCUUCGGAGGGAGGUACCUGAAAUGGCCCUGGGUGGACAGAACUGUAAUUAGGGAAAUUGGAAUUAUCUUUCCUCCGAUGAAAAAAAUACAAGCUUAUCUCUAAAAUUCUGGGGGGAAAAGUCUAUAAAGAUAAGUAUUAUUUCUUGAGUUAAAUCCAAUCACUGUUUUGUCUUUACUGUAGCUUUUUUUUAAAAAAGGUUGUAAUUAUGGUAUGUAUCAAUAUGUUUGUGUCCUGGCUUUUCUUAGUUAUCAUUAAGUUGUAAGCAUUCCUGAAUAUUAUUACAUAUGCUUUUGUCCAUGUCAUUUUUUAUUGGGUAGAUGAUAUUUCUGCAAUGCUUAGCUCAUAAUAGAGCUACAUAUAGCUUACAUAUGUAAGUUUUCUAUUUUUCGUUUCUUUUUUUUGAUAAACCCCCUGUCCUAGGAUUAUUGCAUCAGAGCAUCUCACUAUUUAUUUAUUUUUGGCUGCGUUGGGUCUUCGUUGCUGCACACGGGCUUUCUCUAGUUGUGGUGAGCAGGGGCUACUCUUCUUUGCAGGGUGCAGGCUUCUCAUUGCGGUGGCUUCUCUUGUUGUGGAGCACGGGCUCUAGGCACACGGGCUUCAGUAGUUGUGGCCUGCAGGCUCAGUAGUUGUGGCUCGUGGGCUGUAGAGCGCAGGCUCAGUAGUUGUGGUGCACGGGCUUAGUUGUUCCGCGGCAUGUGGGAUCUUCCCGGUCCAGGGCUUGAACCCGUGUCCCCUGCACUGGCAGGCAUAUUCUUAACCACUGUGCCACCAGGGAAGCCCCACAUCUCACUAUUUUAAAAGUUUUAGUUAAAUAUUGUAACUCAUGAGAUUUGCACUGAAGCUAAAUUUGCUGUUAUCUGGUGAGACACGUGAUGUCUGUUGCUGUCCAUGAUACGCUAUGUCAUGAACAAUUACGUAUAGCGUGUAUUAAAUGCUAGACACGUGUGCGUAUACAUCAUAUGCACCUGUAUUAGCUUUUUCUUAACUUCCAUUUAUUUAGCAGAUAUUUGUGGGAUGCCUGUUGUGUGCCAAGCACUGUUCAAGGUCUUGGAUGUGCAGGAGUGAUCACAACAGGUAUGGUACCAGUUCUAAAGGAGCUUAUUUCUUAGUGGGGAGACAAACAUACACCAAAAAGUAACACUACUGUCAGGAAUAUGAAAGAAUAUGAAAUCGAAUAAUGUGGAAGAUAGUGUGUAUGAGGUGAGGGGAUUCACACUGAAAUCCUACAUUCGAGUGAGACACGAAGAUUUGGGGGAAAUUAACCAGAGAAGGAGCAAAGCACAAAGGAGAAGAUUGAUAAAUAUGACUGUAUUGUAAAGAAAAAAAGACUAAGAAAAAAAAAAAAAAGAACAGCUUUAAUAAUAAAGAAUAAAGAGUUCCCCAAAGUCAAACAGUUCUCAAAAGAAGAAAGCAAAAUGGACAGUACCUGUGAAAGGAUUCCAAAUGUCCCUAAUAUAGGCAGGUGUACUGAGGUCUGAUCUGUAGACACUAGAGUCCACCCUGUUUAGUGGACAGCGCUAGGUGGUUUGAUAAAUGCGCACAGCUGUGUAACAUAGUCAUGUAAUCAUCAUCACGAAGAUACAGAACAUUUCCAUCCCCCGCCAAAGUCCCUCCUGCUUCUUUGUAGUCAACCCCCUCCCUGACCCUCAGCUUCUAACAAUCACAGAUUUGUUUCCCCGACCUCACGGUUUGGUUUUGCCUUUUGUGUGUAAAUGGCAUCGUCCAGGAUGUAGCUCUUUGAGCCUGGUUUCUCUCCUGCAGGUGAGAUCUUCCACGUAGUAUGUGUCAGUCGUUGGGUGGAUUAGGUUGCAGAGUAGUGUCCUGUUCUCUGGAUAUGCCACUGUUAUCCAUCUUCCAGUGGAAGGACACUUGCGUUGUUUCUGGGGCACGUUUUUUCACGUUUUAAAACGUGCCCAAAAUAGGAAGUCUGACGCAAGUCUUGGGGAGGCUGUGUGGGGCAUGGGGUCCCCUGACUCAGCUGGUGAGUGCGGGGUUGCUUGAGAGACCAGUUGGCAGAACGCAAUGAAAUCAAAACAUACGUGCAGCCCCACGCCUCGGUACAUUUGAGAAUUCACAGCUCAUGUUAUGUGUUGUUGAAGGAUACUUCGAGGUGGGUGUGAAUGUCUAAAAGAAAAUGGACUGGAAGGAUCUAGAUCAAAUGCACUCUCAUCCUCCUGGGAGGGAGGAGAGGAUGGGGCUGGUGGUGACGGUCAAAGGCUACUUUAACUUUACCUUUCAUGUUUUAUAAAAGAAGAAUAUAGGCACAUAUAUCACUUCUGCAUUCUGAAAACAUAUAGUAAGGAAAGCAGACCGUGUGUAUAUAUGACAACACGUUCAUGGUUGUAAAUUCUGGGUUUUUAAAAUUUCUUUUAAAAACUAGUUUGAAGGGACUUCCCUGGCGGUCCAGGGGUUAAGACUCCGAGCUUCCACUGCAGGGGGUGCGGGUUCGAUCCCUGGUCGGGAAACUAGGAUUCCACAUGCCUAGGAUUUCACAUGCCACCAAAGCAAACAAACAAACAAACAACAAAAAAACUAGUUUGGGGGGAGGUAUUCUAGCCCGAGAGAACAGCAUGCAUGAAGGACCCAAGGCAGGAAAAAGUUUGGGAAGUUCAUGAUGUCAAGAGACUCCUGUGGGUGGAGUGGAGUGAAUGUCCAAGGGUGAGAGACACAGGACCUGGACGGGGUCCAGGGUGGGCAGGUGCCUGGUCUUGGAGGCCUUAAGCACUAGUCCAGGCCUCUGUGGGCUGCUGAGUGGGGCGGAGGCCUGGUUUGAUUGACAUUUUUGCUCGGUAGACAAUGGAUUGGAUGGUUGACAGUGGUAGCUGGGCCCGUUUGGAGGCCGUGUGGCAGCCAUGCAGAUGAGGACUCUGGACCCUGGCUCUAGCAGUGGAGAGGGGGAGAAGAGGACAAAUUCAAUAUUUAUUUUGGGGAGAGAAAGGACUUCUGCCUGGAGGGCAAAGUUGGAAGGGAUCCAGGUGGGACUGAAGAGGUAGCUGAGGACCUUCCAGUCCCCGUGAGGAGCUUGGACUUUAUCCCGAGGGCGGUUGGGAACUGUGGGAAGUUUUGAACGGGGGCAGGGACGAGAUCAGAGUGGCGUUUCAGGGAGACCUGUGCACAUGUGGUGUCCUGGGCCUGGGGUCACUGAGGAACAUUCUAUAGUUAAUGUGGCUGAGAAUACACCAGUGACCCUCUGGUUGGAUGCUUGGCUUUUCCUGUUUUUCAAAAGGAAAGAGGAAAAAGAAAAGGGCCUCUGUGUGGGAAGCUCCUGAAAUUUACGGGAGAGCAGCUGUAGGAACAGGGGUCCCUUCUGGCAUUUAUCGUGUCGGGGUUUAUCCCACAGUCCACGUAAGUAAUCAUUCAUCCAACUGGGGCCAGGGGCAGCUUUGGGUCACUUAGCCAAUCUUCUCACUGAGAGACUUCAAAGAGAGAUCACUCCUAUCCUUGUGGUGUAUCACUUUUUACAAAACAGACGGUUGCAUUCGGUCCAAGAACAACCUAUGAGGCUAAGGCCAGACUGUCCUGGCCGCGUUGACGCUCAGAGAACACCUCCGGUGGAGACCUGGGGCUUCUUCCGCACGCUGUGCUUCUCAAUGUCAUUGCAUCCGGAUCACCAGCCUUGCAGCGCCGGUCUCCCCUCAGCACACUUGGGAGGAGAUGGCCUCCCAGGAAGUGCUCUUGAAAUAGAAGGGGAGCUCGGGGCUGCCCCUGGCCUUUGCCUGGUGCAGAGUUCCCGUGUCCUCUCGCCACGCCUCGAGGUUGGCCAAAGGCAGUGUCUCUCGCCUGUCAUUUCCCUGGACAGUCCAUAUGUGCUUUCUCAGCUAGAGACAUUCCCCACAUACUUAUCCCACUUUUCCCUGCAAAGGGUUUUGAAAAAAACGAGGGGUGCCAAAGGAUAGGGGAGAUCACUGUAUCAGUCAUGGUAACGUGUGGAGGUGGUCUCGCAGCCACGGCUUACACAGCAGCAUACGACGGUUUUCACAUUUUAUACCUGAGCCGUUGCUGACACCCUUGACCCUUGAUUAUGCAGCUCUUUCCCCUUUGGUCCAGCAGUGAGACCCGGCAUCACUGGCGCCAGAACACCCUCUGGAGAGCAUCCGCUACCGGCCCCAGCUGUCUCCCUGCUCCCACGCCUGGCUUUUAAAAGGGCAAACUAGAUCCUGAGACUCAACGACUUAAAAGCUUUUAUGGCUUCCCAUUAUUAGUUCGAGUACCUGCUGUAUAAUAGACCCUCAUGAGUAUUGAUUGAAUUGCUGAGUGAUGUGAACCCAGUGAUGUGUAUCUGGGGUAAGGACCCAGCCCUCACCAACCCUCCAGGCUGAGUGCUUUCUGCCAGACGGAUGCCUCUGCUUGGAUCAGAAGGGAGGCUUGUCUGAUUAGAGGCAGCUGGUGAGUGUCGGUUUUGAAUAAUGAAGGUUUGGAAUGGCGUUAUUCUGUGGAGAGGGUGGGUGCCUACGGAUUCACUUCUGACAGUCACGUCUCACCCAGCUGGGGAGAUGGGACAGGUUUCAAUUCCUUUCCCACUUCCUCCUCUAAUUAACUCCUGUUGAUGCUUUAUGACUCAGCCUAGGGGUCACCUCCUUCAGGAAACAUUCCUUCAUCCCCUCCAUGCACCCUGAGUUAUCACAACUCACAUCCUGUUGUAUUGUGUUGUGGCCAUGGAUUCCCAACAGGGCUUGCAAACUCAGUUGCUUAGGAAGACGAGCAGAUGAUAUAAAUGCACCAGGUAGGAAGGGUGUGGACUGGCCGACAACUGGUCCCCUCUCUGGACCAGAGGCGGCUGCUCUUUGAUUCCAGCUCCCCCUCUCCGCCUCCCCAUUUCCCCAGGCCAGAAAGGAGAUUCACGGCUGCCAGACCUUCUACUUUUGAAAGAGAAGCUGGGUAUCAUUCUUUUUUUUAAUGAAAAUUCUCCUGAUUUUCAAAUGUUUCAAUUCAGAUUUUUAAAGAAGGCUCACAGGCCAAACAAAACACGUGUGGGCCCGACGUGGCCCCUGGGACCAGCAGUUUGCAGCCCCUGCUUAUGGCUCUCCCUGUCCCAUUGCACAAGCUCUUCCAGACAUGCCGUGCUUUUCUGUGACCCCAGCACCUUGCAGGGAGCCGGCAGGGCUUGGUGGAUGCUCCCUGCUUAAACCCUUAUUGACUUGGGUGCUGCAAUAGAGCGCCUCCCGCAUAGACGGCAUUAACAUUUUUUCUCUUAGAACUGUUUGCACUUAAUGCUGUUCUGAGUUGCUUCUUCAGCCCCCUGCAUGCUUUUGUGAUAGGCUGUGUGUCCCUGGAAAACUAAUCAUUUCCUGUUAACUGCUCUUUUCCUUUUCCCCUUCCCUCUCCACCCCCUCAACACAUGUUGGCCUUUUUUGGGGGGUGUUGGGGGGGGGAAGCCAGACCUUUCGUAUCCUGCUGGGCUCCUAAAGUGUUGGUCAGCUGUUAUUAGGCAGUGGUGGUUUCCGGCUAGCUCAUGACUUUUGCCCUCCAAGUUGGUGAGCUUUUGCUCAUUUCCAUCGGGGGAAAAUGCGUGACUUUCAGAUUUCUCUUCGUUUACGGUGAGCCGUUGUGGCAAAGUUGCUUAAAGAAACAAGCCAAUCAGCUACCAGAAGGAAGCAAAAGCCCCACCCUGUUUUGUUCCGUGUUUUCCAUCUUGUUAUCUGUCUUCACAUUGUGGAGGCAAAAUUCAACAAGGAGCUUAAUAUGUGCCUGAAACUGAGCAAGGCUCUGGGGAACUAGAAAAGAACCGUGGAUUUGAUAGUCUGGAAGAUCCAUCCUUACCUUUCAGAGAUGCAGAGGGAGAGCAAAACCAACGACAGUGAUGAUAUGGUGUUAAUGCAGUUAUAGUGCAGCGUCACGUUCUUUAUUUAGCAUUAUUAGGAGCAUUAUUUAGCUAUAAAAUGGCAUCAUAGAGAUAUUAAGCCCUGACUCUGUGCCACCGUUAAGAACUUGUCCAUAUUAAUCCAUGUAGAUAAUAACUAUGAACUGAUUACACGGAAAAAUCACAGUGGAACAGUGACAUUCAAUGACCCGGGAUUUACUGUGCGUCUCACUUGCUGGUGCUGUGCUAGGGCUUGUAGCUACACUUGGGGAAUCCCUUGAGAUCCCCACCCCCCUAGUCCAGUGCAGGUAUACAGACGUGUGCUUUUGCACAUGGCGACGACACCAGGGUGAGGUCGUGGUUGUCAGAGAGGGACAGGGUGAUGCUGGUUCUCAGGGGAUGAAGCAGCUGAUGACUGAGGUCCAGCUGGCCUGGGAGGCUUCUUUUAGAGGAGGUGAGCCUUGCGAUAGGGUAAUGGGUGGCAGAAGGAGAGGGGUUUACCUGUUACAGAAGGGCUAUAGUCUCUGUUUCUUAUCUUGGAAUGGGAAUACUAUUUCCUCCUUCUGGUUGGUUGUAAGGAUUUGUACUAAUAACAAUAGUAUGAUUACUGACAACAGCUGGUGUUCUGUGAGAGCCCACUGUGUGAUGGGCACAGUGCCAAGGGCUUCCCUUCCAUUACCCCAUAUACUGAUCAGCAAUACCUUAUGGGAUAGGAACCAUUAUCAGCCCUGUUUUUCAGAUGGGACAAACUGAGGCUCAGAGACGUUAACUGACUUGCCCAAGUUCACACAGCUAUUAAAAGGCAGGUUGGAACCCAGGUCAGAGUGCAAAGACUAGGUUUGGAACCAAUCCAUUAACCAAUCUGUUAACUUCAGAUACCCAGGAAGUAUAAAAAUGAAUCCUUUUCCCUAAGAACUUUCUUUUUAUUCCCAGCCCUGCUUUCCCAUCCCCCUCUUCUUUACGCCCCCCCCCCCCAAAAAAAAAGGGCAGGACAGUUUGACUUUGGCAGCAAAUUUUAGCUAUGAUAACCCACAUCUCUGGUUCUAAACUAGACAAUCUCUGGAUGGAGAUUGAGAGAGAAAAGGGGAAAAUGAAAGUAGCAGUUGUCCUAGGUGAUAUGAAUUACAUUAAAAUGGCUUCCAGGGCUUCCCUGGUGGCGCAGUGGCUGAGAGUCCGCCUGCCGAUGCAGGGGACACGGGUUCAUGCCCCGGUACGGGAAGAUCCCACAUGCCGCGGAGCGGCUGGGCCCGUGAGCCAUGGCUGCUGGGCCUGCGCGUCCGGAGCCUGUGCUCCGCAA